rnacentral:rRNA from 1 species
CAAUAGCGUAUAUUAAAGUUGUUGCGGUUAAAAAGCUCGUAGUUGGAUUUCUGCUGAGAACGACCGGUCCGCCCUUUGGGUGUGUAUCUGGCUCUUUCUUGGCAUCUUCUUGGUGAACGUUGCUGCACUUGACUGUGUGGAGCGCUACCCAGGACUUUUACUUUGAGGAAAUUAGAGUGUUUCAAGCAGGCAUACGCCUUGAAUACAUUAGCAUGGAAUAAUAGAAUAGGACUUUGGUUCUAUUUUGUUGGUUUCUAGGACCGAAGUAAUGAUUAAUAGGGAUAGUUGGGGGCAUUAGUAUUUAAUUGUCAGAGGUGAAAUUCUUGGAUUUAUGAAAGACUAACAUCUGCGAAAGCAUUUGCCAAGGAUGUUUUCAUUGA